rnacentral:rRNA from 1 species
GUCCAGACUCCUACGGGAGGCAGCAGUGGGGAAUAUUGCACAAUGGGGGAAACCCUGAUGCAGCGACGCCGCGUGAGUGAAGAAGUAUUUCGGUAUGUAAAGCUCUAUCAGCAGGGAAGAAAAUGACGGUACCUGACUAAGAAGCCCCGGCUAACUACGUGCCAGCAGCCGCGGUAAUACGUAGGGGGCAAGCGUUAUCCGGAUUUACUGGGUGUAAAGGGAGCGUAGACGGCAUGGCAAGUCAGAUGUGAAAGCCCGGGGCUCAACCCCGGGACUGCAUUUGAAACUGUCAGGCUGGAGUGCAGGAGAGGUAAGUGGAAUUCCUAGUGUAGCGGUGAAAUGCGUAGAUAUUAGGAGGAACACCAGUGGCGAAGGCGGCUUACUGGACUGUAACUGACGUUGAGGCUCGAAAGCGUGGGGAGCAAACAGGAUUAGAUACCCUGGUAC